CACCAACCAAUGACGAGGGUCACACAUUACCUAUUCGCCGUCGCACACAAGCAGCUGUCUGAAAUAUCCAGCACGACCCCCAUGACUUAGUGUACAUAGGAUGUGUUUGAGUCCCCUGACCUCAACACCAGCUGUGUCCGCCCAUCCCAUCAACAGCCAACCAACAGCAAAGUAGGACCAGCACUUCAAUCAAGCCCACAGCCCACAGCCACUGACCCAAACAAAAACAAGAGAUUGAAAACUUCCCACACAAAAUAAUCAGAUUGGCCUCACAGCUCGCUGGGCAGAGCUUGAUAGUGUGGACUCAUUGCUUAGUGUGUGCUGGCUGCUGGAGAGGGUGCACCUGAUCUAGGAGUAUAUGUAUUAGCAGGAACCGACCAAAAUUCCCUGAUACCAGGAAAAAUAACACGUCUUAAAUCAGCAAACUUCCUGUGGGACCAUCCUAGGCUGGUUUUUGCUACAGACCAGCUGUCUGGGUUCUUGCAGUGAUUCUGUGUCAACGGAAGAAAACCUUGGAUAAAAAGUAGCAGUUGUCAGCAUCUUCUCUGUGAAGUUAAGUGUGUUUGUGAAAUUUGGAAGUUUUUCCGCGUUUUUGAAAGCAGGAAAGAUCUCCUCUGGGUUAUUCUAAGGAAUUUCUGUCAAUGUCUGUUUGACUUGGAACUUAAAUCUCCUGGAUUCAAUUUCACAGCAAGUUUUAAGCUGACAAGAUGGCACCUCGAAACAGACGAGCGGACAACGGUUGUUGCAGUCUGCUGUUUCUACGAUAUGUCUUGUUUGUCUUCAACGUCCUUUUCUGGGCGACUGGUCUGGCGUUCCUGAUCAUGGGGAUAUGGACAAUUAUCAACAAGCACCGUUAUGUGGGUCUCCUUGGCAACAACACCUACCCUGCCACCACCUUCCUCUUCCUCGCCAUCGGCACCAUCAUCAUCUUCGUGGGAAUCCUCGGAUGUCUCGGCACCGUCAAAGAUAACCGAUGCUGCCUCGUCUCGUACGCGUUCUUGCUGCUGGUGAUCUUCCUGCUGGAGGCUGUAGCUGGGGUGCUGGCCUACAUGUAUGAAGGAGCGAUCCGAGAAGAGUUGACGAGGAACCUGAAUCACACCAUCAUCAACAACUACAACUUCUACAACAGCAUCACAGACGCAGUCAACGACAUGCAAAAGGAGUUCCAGUGCUGCGGCGCCGGCUCCUACAAAGACUGGCACUACUCACGCUGGCUGAAGAUGGACACGGCCACGGAGAACGUGGUGCCGGACAGCUGCUGCAUCUCCCCCACGCUGCGGUGCGGCAAGAGUGACUCCCCCUCCAACAUCUACUGGAAGGGCUGCUCUCCCCGGCUGGAGGAGUCCGUCAAGAAGCACCUGAUUCUGAUUGGUGGGAUAGGACUUGGCCUGUGUUGUAUACAGAUAUUUGGUAUAAUAUUCGCCUGCUGCCUGGCUCGGAAGAUUAAAGAAAGCAAGGAGGGAUACUGACAAUCAAAGAAGAAGGUCAGAUGGUCUGAAUGUCAACAUAGUGCUAUAGAUUGACAGGCCAGAUGAUCGAACAGAGCUAGCCAUGGCUGAUAUAUCGACAAGUUUGCGUCCAUGCUUCCUAACAAUAUCUUCAUAUAACAAGUGCUAUUUUAUCAGAGGAAGCCCCUGUUAAAAGUAAAUGUCCAUAGAUUUCCACAUUUGUACUUGUAGAAGAUAGUUAUUGUAAACAAUAUGCUGUUGAAAUGCUGUUACGUCCAAUGUGAUUGUCACACAGAACAAGGUGUAUCUUGUGUCUUUUUUAUGAGUUUGUUUCCAGUGAUUUUAUGAAUGCUUCACGGUAUUUGUUCCCUUGAUGAUAGGAAUAUGUUGCAGUAAGUAAUGGGUGCCAAUAGUGAUUCAAGGUUGGUGCAAGAAUGUGUUUCCCAGACAUACGAAUCAUGUCAGUUGUUUCUAGUCAAAUGCUUCGUGUUGUAAACAACUGUGGCUUAAACAGUAUGGCUAGAUUGUAGCUACGGAUAGGGUGAGGUGAUAGAAGUGGGGGUGAGGUGAUAGAAGUGGGGGUGAGGUGAUAGUAGUGGGGGUGAGGUGAUAGAAGUGGGGGUGAGGUGAUAGAAGUGGGGGUGAGGUGAUAGUAGUGGGGGUGAGGGAUAGUUGUGGUAAGUUCACUUUGUCGACAGGGCAAUCUUAAAAUUAUGGAACCCCUGUCUCUGAACAUAGACUUUAAACAGCCGUAAUUCACCCUCUUAGACAAAGGAUAUCUUGUAUAUCACUGCUUUGUUGACAAAGUGUUUGUGACACCAUGUUAACAAAGACCUAGUCCGACAUAGCUAAGACAUCUUAGUGAAGCUGGUCGCUGUUCUCUCUGGCCAUACUGUUUAGGCUAUACGGCUUUAUUAUUUGUAUAUAUCAUCUAAAUGACUAAUAUCAUUAUUUAUCCUAUUUAUUGUUAAUCUUUAACUUGCACUACCGGUUACCAUAGUAUUACCAUAGUUACAUGUGGCACCAUUAGUUUAGAUCCUGCACAACUUAGUUACUUGAGGUAACCAUGGUAACUAGAAAUGGUUCACAUCAUAAAGUGGGGAGGGAUACAUUACAUGAUAAAUGUUUGACCUUGACCUUGACCUCAAUGGUUUUUUUAUAUGAUUCCCUGCACAUAUGGGUAACAAUAAAUGUACUAGACUAUCUUAAAUAUUGCUUGACACGGGCUUCAGGUUAUUAAUUAAGGUCCCGAGUGCCCUAAGAAAGUGAUUUUAACAAUUCAUCAUCAUUUGAUGAAUGCAUGCCCUCCCAUUUAUAUUAUUUUGUGAAGGUACAUGAUCUCACGAUACAUUACACUUAUUUUGAUCAAAAGACAGGUAGAUUGUUACACCCCUUGGACAUACCUCAAAUGGAUUAGCCCCAAAUAAAUAUAUAUCAUGUAAAACAUCAUAAAUAUUGUCACUGAUGCCCAAAUAUUUAACCACUGUAAACAUGAAUGCAUCCAAAAAUUCAAUUUCAUCAUUUCUUUUGUUAGAUACGAAAAGUAGUAGGCUGACCUUGACCUUGGUAAUGUUGACACUGUACACAUGAAGCACCUCAAACAUUAACAUUACUCCAUUGUCACAGCUAAUCGGAAACUUAAUACACAGUGAUGAUAAUCUAUAUAAUAUCCUCACAGGUGUCUUUGCGUAUAUACUACCCAAAGAAGUACAACAACACCUGAUUCUUUCACAUUACGGGGGCACGGGUGGCCCAGUCGUCUAAGGCGCCGCGUUUCGCUGUGCAGAGUUGCGUCCCCUGGACACGUCAGAAACCUAUGAUUGUGGGUUC
rnacentral:misc_RNA from 1 species